UACGUAGGGGGCAAGCGUUGUCCGGGUUUAUUGGGCGUAAAGAGCGUGUAGGCGGCUAGAUAGGUCCGUUGUGAAAACUCGAGGCUCAACCUCGAGACGUCGAUGGAAACCAUCUGGCUAGAGUCCGGAAGAGGAGAGUGGAAUUCCUGGUGUAGCGGUGAAAUGCGCAGAUAUCAGGAAGAACACCCGUGGCGAAGGCGGCUCUCUGGUACGUGACUGACGCUGAGACGCGAAAGCGUGGGGAGCAAACAGG
rnacentral:rRNA from 1 species